rnacentral:lncRNA from 1 species
UCAAGGGCAUCUUGAAAGUUUUUUCCGCAUUUUUCGCUCUUUUAUCGCGCGAUUAUGUUCCAAUUUUUCGAUUUUCCUAUCUUAUCUGAUGGUUUUCUCUCGAAUGAGUCCGAAUUUGUAUGAAAUGGAUUUGACGCUUUUUUUGGAAAUUUCCAUUAAAACCGCACACCAAAGGCGAAAUUGAUUAGGGCCAGAUGGUUGCGGCGUUUUUGUGCAGAAAAUCUAUAAUUAUGUGGCUGGUAAACUAACCUGACAUGGGCACGAGCCCCAGGUAUAUUUAUCUUAAAUUAGAAACACCCCCGGUAGUUCCGAUGGCGCUUUGAUAAUCCCAUCUCAUUUUCGGCUGUUUUAUGGGCGUGGCACCUUUAAUUAGAUUGAUGAUUUUUUGGAAUUUAAUGGGAAAUUCCCGAAUUACUCGAAUCCAGACCUGCAGUUUGGUGAACAAAUGCCCCAACAAUGCAAACUGAUUGAUAAUCCUUCAAGUAAAUGGGCCGGCCAGUCGCCAUUACUAUUUUCUCCCUUGCCCUUGACCAACGGUCAGUAUGGGAUGAAUCAUUCCAGGAUUUCUCCCAUAAUUAAAUGCCUAUGACUAAUCCUGCAUGUUGUUUUUUUGUACUAUAAUUUUGCCGGUUUUUGUACAAUUAGGUAAAAAUCCAAACUCCGCCUAGUCGGCAUGGCAACGGCGACUGUUUGUUUGUAUUGCAGAAAAUUUUUGUGUGUAUUGUCCAGUCAAUCAUCUAGAAAAAUGGGUUUUUUGCAAAAACUGGCUGCUAAUUGUGUGUUGGUGUUCGUGUUUUUGAGCUGCUUAAAACUCUCGGUAGUUCUUAUAUGGUGAACGUGUAAACUUGCCUUGUUAACUGCAGGAUUGACCAAUUUGAAUGGAUAAAUAGAAUAAAUUCGAUUAUGGCCGUCACGAGUUUGGUUUCCCGAUCAAACUCUCAGUCAAAAUACAUCAUUUCAACGAAAUCCCAUAAUAGCACGCGAUUCGAACAACCAUCAGGGGUGUUUUUUGACCCUCACCAUCAAGGGUUCGGGCCAAGAUGGGAAUAAUGAAUGAAACUAUCGUGAGCCGGAAACCGAGGGGAUCAACGGAAAGUAUCAGG